rnacentral:rRNA from 1 species
UACGUAGGCAGCAAGCGUUGUUCGGAGUUACUGGGCGUAAAGGGUGUGUAGGCGGUUGUUUAAGUUUGGUGUGAAAUCUCCCGGCUCAACCGGGAGGGUGCGCCGAAUACUGAAUGACUUGGAGUGCGGGAGAGGAAAGUGGAAUUCCUGGUGUAGCGGUGAAAUGCGUAGAUAUCAGGAGGAACACCCGUAGCGAAGGCGGCACUCUGGGCCGGAACUGACGCUGAGGAGCGAAAGCGUGGGGAGCGAACAGG